GUCCUCUUCCUCUCAUGGCAGCGCGCUGUUUCAUUUUGACGUGGGCCAGCAGGAGCACCAGCAGCAGCAGCCGGUCGCCCGGUGCCGAGUCGUCGAAACUAUAACAGCUCUAAAUGCCCUACGCUCCAUGGAUUUCGCCGAAAUCCGGGAAAGAAAUUCAAGUUUCCGUGGCCUUUGUGAAACUUUAACUCGCUUGAGACGAAGUCCUCAAAUGAAUCAGAAGCGAGUCGGCCGGCCCGACUUCUUCGAAAGCAAAAGAGAAUACCUUGC
rnacentral:misc_RNA from 1 species